rnacentral:rRNA from 1 species
GGUUAAGCGACUAAGCGUACACGGUGGAUGCCCUGGCAGUCAGAGGCGAUGAAGGGCGUACUAAUCUGCGAUAAGCGCCGGUAAGGUGAUAUGAACCGUUAUAACCGGCGAUACCCGAAUGGGGAAACCCAGUGUGAUUCGUCACACUAUCAUUAACUGAAUCCAUAGGUUAAUGAGGCGAACCGGGGGAACUGAAACAUCUAAGUACCCCGAGGAAAAGAAAUCAACCGAGAUUCCCCCAGUAGCGGCGAGCGAACGGGGAGGAGCCCAGAGCCUGAAUCAGCAUGUGUGUUAGUGGAAGCGUCUGGAAAGGCGCGCGAUACAGGGUGACAGCCCCGUACACAAAAGCGCAUGUGCUGUGAGCUCGAUGAGUAGGGCGGGACACGUGGUAUCCUGUCUGAAUAUGGGGGGACCAUCCUCCAAGGCUAAAUACUCCUGACUGACCGAUAGUGAACCAGUACCGUGAGGGAAAGGCGAAAAGAACCCCGGCGAGGGGAGUGAAAAAGAACCUGAAACCGUGUACGUACAAGCAGUGGGAGCACCCUUUGGGUGUGACUGCGUACCUUUUGUAUAAUGGGUCAGCGACUUAUAUUCUGUAGCAAGGUUAACCGAAUAGGGGAGCCGGAGGGAAACCGAGUCUUAACCGGGCGUUAAGUUGCAGGGUAUAGACCCGAAACCCGGUGAUCUAGCCAUGGGCAGGUUGAAGGUUGGGUAACACUAACUGGAGGACCGAACCGACUAAUGUUGAAAAAUUAGCGGAUGACCUGUGGCUGGGGGUGAAAGGCCAAUCAAACCGGGAGAUAGCUGGUUCUCCCCGAAAGCUAUUUAGGUAGCGCCUCGUGAAUUCAUCUCCGGGGGUAGAGCACUGUUUCGGCUAGGGGGCCAUCCCGGCUUACCAACCCGAUGCAAACUGCGAAUACCGGAGAAUGUUAUCACGGGAGACACACGGCGGGUGCUAACGUCCGUCGUGAAGAGGGAAACAACCCAGACCGCCAGCUAAGGUCCCAAAGUCAUGGUUAAGUGGGAAACGAUGUGGGAAGGCCCAGACAGCCAGGAUGUUGGCUUAGAAGCAGCCAUCAUUUAAAGAAAGCGUAAUAGCUCACUGGUCGAGUCGGCCUGCGCGGAAGAUGUAACGGGGCUAAACCAUGCACCGAAGCUGCGGCAGCGACACUGU